rnacentral:rRNA from 1 species
UGCAAGUCGAACGCUUUUUCUUUCACCGGAGCUUGCUCCACCGAAAGAAAAAGAGUGGCGAACGGGUGAGUAACACGUGGGUAACCUGCCCAUCAGAAGGGGAUAACACUUGGAAACAGGUGCUAAUACCGUAUAACACUAUUUUCCGCAUGGAAGAAAGUUGAAAGGCGCUUUUGCGUCACUGAUGGAUGGACCCGCGGUGCAUUAGCUAGUUGGUGAGGUAACGGCUCACCAAGGCCACGAUGCAUAGCCGACCUGAGAGGGUGAUCGGCCACACUGGGACUGAGACACGGCCCAGACUCCUACGGGAGGCAGCAGUAGGGAAUCUUCGGCAAUGGACGAAAGUCUGACCGAGCAACGCCGCGUGAGUGAAGAAGGUUUUCGGAUCGUAAAACUCUGUUGUUAGAGAAGAACAAGGAUGAGAGUAAAAUGUUCAUCCCUUGACGGUAUCUAACCAGAAAGCCACGGCUAACUACGUGCCAGCAGCCGCGGUAAUACGUAGGUGGCAAGCGUUGUCCGGAUUUAUUGGGCGUAAAGCGAGCGCAGGCGGUUUCUUAAGUCUGAUGUGAAAGCCCCCGGCUCAACCGGGGAGGGUCAUUGGAAACUGGGAGACUUGAGUGCAGAAGAGGAGAGUGGAAUUCCAUGUGUAGCGGUGAAAUGCGUAGAUAUAUGGAGGAACACCAGUGGCGAAGGCGGCUCUCUGGUCUGUAACUGACGCUGAGGCUCGAAAGCGUGGGGAGCGAACAGGAUUAGAUACCCUGGUAGUCCACGCCGUAAACGAUGAGUGCUAAGUGUUGGAGGGUUUCCGCCCUUCAGUGCUGCAGCAAACGCAUUAAGCACUCCGCCUGGGGAGUACGACCGCAAGGUUGAAACUCAAAGGAAUUGACGGGGGCCCGCACAAGCGGUGGAGCAUGUGGUUUAAUUCGAAGCAACGCGAAGAACCUUACCAGGUCUUGACAUCCUUUGACCACUCUAGAGAUAGAGCUUCCCCUUCGGGGGCAAAGUGACAGGUGGUGCAUGGUUGUCGUCAGCUCGUGUCGUGAGAUGUUGGGUUAAGUCCCGCAACGAGCGCAACCCUUA